rnacentral:rRNA from 1 species
GGAAUAUUGGACAAUGGGGGCAACCCUGAUCCAGCCAUGCCGCGUGCGUGAAGAAGGCCUUAGGGUUGUAAAGCGCUUUCACUGGUGAAGGUGAUGACGGUAGCCAGAGAAGAAGCCCCGGCUAACUCCGUGCCAGCAGCCGCGGUAAUACGGAGGGGGCAAGCGUUGUUCGGAAUUACUGGGCGUAAAGGGCGCGUAGGCGGAACGUCAAGUUAGGGGUGAAAGGCCUGGGCUCAACCUAGGAACGGCCUCUAAAACUGACGAUCUAGAGUCCGGAAGAGGAUGGCGGAAUUCCCAGUGUAGAGGUGAAAUUCGUAGAUAUUGGGAAGAACACCGGUGGCGAAGGCGGCCAUCUGGUCCGGUACUGACACUGACACUGAGGUGCGAAAGCGUGGGUAGCA